rfam:Pedobacter cryoconitis strain PAMC 27485, complete genome.
AUAAAGGUGGACUGAUUUGCGAUGUUAUGUUAGCAUGACGGGAUUGCAACCACGUAAAAAAAAGUGCUAACCAUUCAUAC